rnacentral:rRNA from 1 species
AGUUUGAUCCUGGCUCAAGAUGAACGCUGGUGGCGUGCUUAAUUCAUGUCAGUCAAACCAAGCAUAUGAGUGUAAUUUUUCUGAGGGAAACAACUAUGACUGAAUGGGGGACGGGUGAUUAACGAUUGGGUCACCUGCCUCAUACCGGGGGAUAACGUUUACAAAUGACUGCUAAUACCGCAUAAGCGCACAAAACCGCGUGGUUUGGUGUGAAAUACUGACCGUGGUAUGAGAUGGGCCCGCGUCUGAUUAGCUGGUUGGGAGGGUAACUUGCCUACCUGGGCGACGAUCAUUAGGCCGGCCUGAGAGGGCGGACGGUCACAUCGGGACUGAGACACGGCCCAGACUCCUACCGUGAGGCAGCAUGGGGGAAUAUUGGACAAUGGGGGGAACCCUGAUCCACCUACCCUCGCGUAAGUGAAGAAGUAUUUCGGGUAUGUAAAGCUUUAUCAGCAGGGAAGAAAAUGACGGUACCUGACUAAGAAGCCCCGGCUAACUACGUGCCAGCAGCCGCGGUAAUACGUAGGGGGCAAGCGUUAUCCGGAUUUACUGGGUGUAAAGGGAGCGUAGACGGUGCAGCAAGUCUGAUGUGAAAGGCGGGGGCCCAACCCCCGGACUGCUCUGGAAACUGUGUAACUGGAGUGCAGGAGAGGCAGGCGGAAUUCCUAGUGUAGCGGUGAAAUGCGUAGAUAUUAGGAGGAACACCAGUGGCGAAGGCGGCCUGCUGGACUGUAACUGACGUUGAGGCUCGAAAGCGUGGGGAGCAAACAGGAUUAGAUACCCUGGUAGUCCACGCCGUAAACGAUGAUUACUAGGUGUGGGUGGGUAUGGACCCAUCGCUGCCGCAGCAAACGCAGUAAGUAAUCCACCUGGGGAGUACGUUGGCAAGAAUGAAACUCAAAGGAAUUGACGGGGACCCGCACAAGCGGUGGAGCAUGUGGUUUAAUCCGAAGCAACGCGAAGAACCUUACCAAGUCUUGACAUCCUCCUGAAUAAAGGGUAACGCCUUUACGCCUUCGGGACAGGAGAGACAGGUGGUGCAUGGUAGUCGUCAGCUCGUGUCGUGUAGACUGUUGGGUCUAAUUCCCGCAACGAGCGCAACCCCUAUCCUUAGUAGCCAGGGAGCAGCGUCGGCCACUAUAGGGAGACUGCCGGGGACAACCCGGAGGAAGGUGGGGAUGACGUCAAAUCAUCAUGCCCCUUAUGAUUUGGGCUACACACGUCCCACAAUGGCGUAAACAAAGGGAAGCGAGCCUGCGAAGGUAACCGAAUCCCAGAAACAAUGUCUCAGUUCGGAUCGUAGUGUGCAACUCGAAAACACGAAGCUGGAAUCGUUAGUAAUCGCGGAUCAGAAUGCCGCGGUGAAUACGUUCCCGUCUCUUGCACUCACCGCCCGUCA